rnacentral:rRNA from 1 species
CUGGAGGUAUCAGAAGUGCGAAUGCUGACAUAAGUAACGAUAAAGCGGGUGAAAAGCCCGCUCGCCGGAAGACCAAGGGUUCCUGUCCAACGUUAAUCGGGGCAGGGUGAGUCGACCCCUAAGGCGAGGCCGAAAGGCGUAGUCGAUGGGAAACAGGUUAAUAUUCCUGUACUUGGUGUUACUGCGAAGGGGGGACGGAGAAGGCUAUGUUGGCCGGGCGACGGUUGUCCCGGUUUAAGCGUGUAGGCUGGUUUUCCAGGCAAAUCCGGAAAAUCAAGGCUGAGGCGUGAUGACGAGGCACUACGGUGCUGAAGCAACAAAUGCCCUGCUUCCAGGAAAAGCCUCUAAGCAUCAGGUAACAUCAAAUCGUACCCCAAACCGACACAGGUGGUCAGGUAGAGAAUACCAAGGCGCUUGAGAGAACUCGGGUGAAGGAACUAGGCAAAAUGGUGCCGUAACUUCGGGAGAAGGCACGCUGAUAUGUAGGUGAAGUCCCUCGCGGAUGGAGCUGAAAUCAGUCGAAGAUACCAGCUGGCUGCAACUGUUUAUUAAAAACACAGCACUGUGCAAACACGAAAGUGGACGUAUACGGUGUGACGCCUGCCCGGUGCCGGAAGGUUAAUUGAUGGGGUCAGCGCAAGCGAAGCUCUUGAUCGAAGCCCCGGUAAACGGCGGCCGUAACUAUAACGGUCCUAAGGUAGCGAAAUUCCUUGUCGGGUAAGUUCCGACCUGCACGAAUGGCGUAAUGAUGGCCAGGCUGUCUCCACCCGAGACUCAGUGAAAUUGAACUCGCUGUGAAGAUGCAGUGUACCCGCGGCAAGACGGAAAGACCCCGUGAACCUUUACUAUAGCUUGACACUGAACAUUGAGCCUUGAUGUGUAGGAUAGGUGGGAGGCUUUGAAGUGUGGACGCCAGUCUGCAUGGAGCCGGCCUUGAAAUACCACCCUUUAAUGUUUGAUGUUCUAACGUUGACCCGUGAUCCGGGUUGCGGACAGUGUCUGGUGGGUAGUUUGACUGGGGCGGUCUCCUCCUAAAGAGUAACGGAGGAGCACGAAGGUUGGCUAAUCCUGGUCGGACAUCAGGAGGUUAGUGCAAUGGCAUAAGCCAGCUUGACUGCGAGCGUGACGGCGCGAGCAGGUGCGAAAGCAGGUCAUAGUGAUCCGGUGGUUCUGAAUGGAAGGGCCAUCGCUCAACGGAUAAAAGGUACUCCGGGGAUAACAGGCUGAUACCGCCCAAGAGUUCAUAUCGACGGCGGUGUUUGGCACCUCGAUGUCGGCUCAUCACAUCCUGGGGCUGAAGUAGGUCCCAAGGGUAUGGCUGUUCGCCAUUUAAAGUGGUACGCGAGCUGGGUUUAGAACGUCGUGAGACAGUUCGGUCCCUAU